UCCCAGCCUCCCUUUUGGGUCUAUGUGGUCAUGUGAUCACGAGGGACCAAUGGGAUGUGAGCAGGAGGGCUUUGCUCAACUCAGGCCUAAGGCAAACCACCUGCUCCCGUCGUUGGCCUUUUUCCUUCCCAAAAGGCUAGAGAGCAGACGUGGUAGCAAAGUCCACUGUGUUGGCUGUGGCCAGCAUCCAGGGGGUGAGGGAGCAACAGAACGGAAGAACCCUGGGUCCCCGGUGACGCCAUGGAGGGGAGCCCGGAGCCCUCACACAGCCAGGACUGCCGGCCACGGGACUGCACGGUGCCAGUCAACUUCCAAAGCUGGUUCUUAACCCAGGAUUCCAAGCUGCAGAGAAAUUUGCCCAGAAAGCCUCAAAAAUGUUUCUCUGCAGCCCUCACCACUGCCCGCCAUGAACACUGCACAUCAUCCACCUCUCAUCCUCCCCCUUCCUGUCUCAAGGGCUCAGGGAAGGCCCCUCAGGCUUCCAGAAUGUUCUGUAAGAUGUGAACUCUCUGGGCAGGAUGCGUGCAGCUCACUGGAGACAAGCGGUGACGUCCUGGACAAGCAUCAUGCACCAUCAGGUGGCUCCUGCAGAAAGCGAUGAUGAUGGGACCUUUCUCAGCAGCACCUCAUCUCUGUACACGAAUGUCUGAGAACGGCCCUCGUGGCUCGUGGCUGUAAGGACACCCCGUCAGUGGCGAUGAGCAGUAAAUACCACUGCGCUGGUCACAUCCUGCCUCUCCAGCCUCAAGUGGCAAGAACCAGAUCCUGGCGUUUGCAGCCCCCCGUCCCUCCGUGACACACAGUGCCCUUUGGUCAUUUCCUGUCCCCUCCCCGCCCCUCUGUGCCGAGCAGAUGUCCCUACCUGAGCAAGUGCAGACACUUCUUCCUUUUCUGUGCUUUGCCUCAUUCCACAGGCAGGGAUUCGAAAAGGCCCAGUAAAUUAUUCACCAUUUUCUGCCACAUAAUGCACAUGUAUCCCGUCCACUUCCCCAACACAGUGAGAAUUAACUGUUUAGGAAAUAAAUAUUGAUGCCUCUUACUCCUGACCUCUGCCACCCUGCAAACGGCCAAGGAAAAUUCCGCACCAUCCUGACAAAAACGAACCUUAAAAACAAACGGCAUGGCGCAAAAGUCCCGAGGAUUGAGGUCGACGGGCAGGAGCUUAGAAAGGGCCCAUCUCCCUCAGUGGUCUUUAAUGAAAUUCCUCAAAUAAUCAGAAGAACAAACAGAACAAUAAUGAGCCAACGUAUUUGCUCCGUCACAAGCUUUGUUAAUAAUUCCCGCCUCUGUGCCCACAGUCUGCCUACAGUGCGGGUCUGGUGAAACCUGACGGUCUGCAAGAAUGUCACGGGGUUUCAGCCUUUUGCCCCUGUGGAUGCCCGAGGGGCUGUAGCAGAGGCAGUGGAGGCGGGGCCAGAGGCGGGUUGACCAGGCCGUGCCCUGUUGCGUCAGUUCUCCAGGGACCCGAGCACCCCAGUCAAGGCUGCUGUCGGUCUGUCACGCUGACCCUCCAAGCUGCGGUGAAACAGUUGGUGCCACUUUGGGAACCGGGGCGGGGGGUGUGAUGCUGGGAGAAGGUAGGAAGCAGCCUCGCCGAGCAGGUUCUCGCGUGUGGGUAAACGCGCCUUUGCUAAGAUCUGUGCGGCUACGGAGGAAUCUUUCGGGACCUCUCGAAUAUCCCCUACUUGUUGAUGCCAUGGAUGUUUAAGUGCCCCGGGGGCAGACCGGAUGGCAGGUGUGAUAUCUUCCUUCUGUGUAGUGCUACCGUACAUCCAUGUCUUGGCUGUGGCUUCGCGGCGGGCAGAGUUCUUGCCCACCACCGGAUACCAUGCUUGGCCAUAUGUCAUUCUUUGGCUAAUAGGGGAAGAGGGAGAGGCUUAAAAUGUGCUCAUGCCGCCCUGAGGCUGUUCCACCUCUGGUGUCCCACCAAUCCCAGAAUAAGAAACGCAGAGCAGACACGCCCUGGCCAGGCAGAGCCAAACCCAGCCUCAAUCAGCCAAAUCCCCACCAACUGGCGGACAGUGAGCCAGAAAUAAAUGCUGGUUAUGGUGCACCUGUGAGUUUGGGGGUGAUUUGUUAUGCAGUGUUAUGGUGGCAAUAGCUGACCAAUACACUCCUGCAGGAUUCUCAAACUAGGGUGCGAGAUGGAAAAAGUUUAAUCAAAGAAGGUCCUGGUGUUGAAGGAGCUUGCAGUCAAGAUUGCGAACUGAGGCAGAAGUGACGCAGGUGCUGUUACAGAUGUCGGAGCCAGGGCUGUAGGGACCUACAGGUGGGGCAGAGUGCCCUGCGCCUUCUAAGGGAUCUCGUCACAGGAUCCAGGCGCGUAAUGUCCACCACACAACAGGCCAGUAAAUCGAGAGACAGGUUGUUGAGGCAAGAAAUGGCGACUUUAUUCGGAAAGCCAGCAGGGCAAGAAAAUGCCUGACGAGUGUCCCAGAGCACCGUCUUACCCGUGUCAGAGUCCAGGCUUCUUUUAUACUGAAAAGAGGAGGGACGUGGUGGGUCCUUGUACACUUCUCCGUGUGGGAAUCCUUUGUUCUGGUCCACACGGUUCAAGGCACAGUAUUCCUGUAAGCCUCCAGCAAAACGAAUGUUAUUCUCUGUUCUGCAACUUUCUAUCUCUGUGUAACUAGAAAAGUGCUAGACCCUCAAAGGUCAGAGCCUGGAGAAUGGGCUGCCCUCUAUGUUUCAGGCUUUAGGCCACAUACAUCUUAAGGGGGAGCAAAAGCAACGGAAUACAAAAGUUAGAGUAAAAACAAAAAGCAAAAACAGAUCCCCGAUGGAGUCAGAUUUGCUCCUUCCUGUUCCAAUCAGGGUGCCCUUCCUGGGGGAGGCAACUCAAAUCGAGACACAUCAGGCAGCUAAAGGAGGGAAAGAGCUUUAAGGCAAAGUAAGAAAGUGUGUGCCGUUUCCAUGCACCUGCUGCCAUUCAGUCUGGCUGGAAAUUGGGAUGUUCGGGGAAGGUACACGGAGAAAUGGAGCCAGGAGUUCCCAUUGUGACUUAGAGGGUUAAGGACCCAGUGUUCUCUGUGAGGGUACAGGUUCAAUC